UGGGGAAUAUUGGACAAUGGGCGCAAGCCUGAUCCAGCCAUGCCGCGUGAGUGAAGAGGGCCUUCGGGUUGUAAAGCUCUUUUACCAGGGACGAUAAUGACGGUACCUGGAGAAUAAGCCCCGGCAAACUUCGUGCCAGCAGCCGCGGUAAUACGAAGGGGGCUAGCGUUGUUCGGAAUUACUGGGCGUAAAGCGCACGUAGGCGGAUUGUUAAGUCAGAGGUGAAAUCCCGGAGCUCAACUUCGGAACUGCCUUUGAUACUGGCAAUCUAGAGUCCGGAAGAGGUUAGUGGAAUUCCCAGUGUAGAGGUGAAAUUCGUAGAUAUUGGGAAGAACACCAGUGGCGAAGGCGGCUAACUGGUCCGGUACUGACGCUGAGGUGCGAAAGCGUGGGGAGCAAACAGGAUUAGAUACCCAAGUAGUCCCUGAGCGGGCUGGCAAGGCGCAU
rnacentral:rRNA from 1 species